CCUACGGGUGGCUGCAGUGAGGAAUAUUGGUCAAUGGGCGCGAGCCUGAACCAGCCAAGUAGCGUGAAGGAUGACUGCCCUACGGGUUGUAAACUUCUUUUAUCAAGGAAUAAAGUGAGGCACGUGUGCCUUUUUGUAUGUACUUUAUGAAUAAGCAUCGGCUAACUCCGUGCCAGCAGCCGCGGUAAUACGGAGGAUCCGAGCGUUAUCCGGAUUUAUUGGGUUUAAAGGGUGCGUAGGUGGGUUGUUAAGUCAGCGGUAAAAUCUUGGGGCUCAACGCCAGCGAGCCGUUGAAACUGGCGGUCUUGAGAGGUCGAGAGGUAUGCGGAAUGCGUGGUGUAGCGGUGAAAUGCUUAGAUAUCGCGCAGAACUCCGAUUGCGAAGGCAGCAUACCGGCGGCGAUCUGACGCUGAGGCACGAAAGCGUGGGUAUCGAACAGGAUUAGAUACCCUAGUAGUC
rnacentral:rRNA from 1 species